GCUCCAGUAGUGUAGUGGCCAAUCAUCUAGGACUCUCACUCCUAUGACUCGGGUUCAAAUCCCGGCUGGAGCA
rnacentral:tRNA from 1 species